rnacentral:rRNA from 1 species
GAUGAACGCCGGCGGUGUGCCUAAUACAUGCAAGUCGAACGCGUUGGCCCAAUUGAUUGGCGGUGCUUGCACCUGAUUGAUUUUGGUCGCCAACGAGUGGCGGACGGGUGAGUAACACGUAGGUAACCUGCCCAGAAGCGGGGGACAACAUUUGGAAACAGAUGCUAAUACCGCAUAACAACGUUGUUCGCAUGAACAACGCUUAAAAGAUGGCUUCUCGCUAUCACUUCUGGAUGGACCUGCGGUGCAUUAGCUUGUUGGUGGGGUAAUGGCCUACCAAGGCGAUGAUGCAUAGCCGAGUUGAGAGACUGAUCGGCCACAAUGGGACUGAGACACGGCCCAUACUCCUACGGGAGGCAGCAGUAGGGAAUCUUCCACAAUGGGCGCAAGCCUGAUGGAGCAACACCGCGUGAGUGAAGAAGGGUUUCGGCUCGUAAAGCUCUGUUGUUAAAGAAGAACACGUAUGAGAGUAACUGUUCAUACGUUGACGGUAUUUAACCAGAAAGUCACGGCUAACUACGUGCCAGCAGCCGCGGUAAUACGUAGGUGGCAAGCGUUAUCCGGAUUUAUUGGGCGUAAAGAGAGUGCAGGCGGUUUUCUAAGUCUGAUGUGAAAGCCUUCGGCUUAACCGGAGAAGUGCAUCGGAAACUGGAUAACUUGAGUGCAGAAGAGGGUAGUGGAACUCCAUGUGCAGCGGUGGAAUGCGUAGAUAUAUGGAAGAACACCAGUGGCGAAGGCGGCUACCUGGUCUGCAACUGACGCUGAGACUCGAAAGCAUGGGUAGCGAACAGG